rnacentral:rRNA from 1 species
GAUGAACGCUGGCGGCGUGCCUAAUACAUGCAAGUCGAACGCUGAAGGAAGGAGCUUGCUCUUUCCGGAUGAGUUGCGAACGGGUGAGUAACGCGUAGGUAACCUGCCUGGUAGCGGGGGAUAACUAUUGGAAACGAUAGCUAAUACCGCAUAACAGUAGAUGUUGCAUGAUAUCUACUUAAAAGUUGCAAUUGCACCACUACCAGAUGGACCUGCGUUGUAUUAGCUAGUUGGUGAGGUAACGGCUCACCAAGGCGACGAUACAUAGCCGACCUGAGAGGGUGAUCGGCCACGCUGGGACUGAGACACGGCCCAGACUCCUACGGGAGGCAGCAGUAGGGAAUCUUCGGCAGUGGACGGAAGUCUGACCGAGCGACGCCGCGUGAGUGAAGAAGGAUUUCGGAUCGUAAAGCUCUGUUGUAAGAGAAGAACGAGUGUGAGAGUGGAAAGUGCACACUGUGACGGUAUCUUACCAGAAAGGGACGGCUAACUACGUG